rnacentral:rRNA from 1 species
GGGCGCAAGCCUGAUGCAGCGACGCCGCGUGAGGGAUGGAGGCCUUCGGGUUGUAAACCUCUUUUAUCGGGGAGCAAGCGAGAGUGAGUUUACCCGUUGAAUAAGCACCGGCUAACUACGUGCCAGCAGCCGCGGUAAUACGUAGGGUGCAAGCGUUAUCCGGAAUUAUUGGGCGUAAAGGGCUCGUAGGCGGUUCGUCGCGUCCGGUGUGGAAGUCCAUCGCUUAACGGUGGAUCCGCGCCGGGUACGGGCGGGCUUGAGUGCGGUAGGGGAGACUGGAAUUCCCGGUGUAACGGUGGAAUGUGUAGAUAUCGGGAAGAACACC